rnacentral:rRNA from 1 species
AUCCGGAGGGUGCAAGCGUUAUUCGGAAUCACUGGGCGUAAAGGACGCGUAGGCGGGUUGGCAAGUCAGAUGUGAAAUCCUACAGCUUAACUGUAGAACUGCAUUUGAAACUGCUAACCUAGAGUAUGGGAGGGGGAGAUGGAAUUAGUGGUGUAGGGGUAAAAUCCGUAGAUAUCACUAGGAAUACCGAAAGCGAAGGCGAUCUCCUGGAACAUAACUGACGCUAAGGCGUGAAAGCGUGGGGAGCAAACAGGAUUAGAUACCCUAGUAGUCC